AGUGUGUGUGUGUGUGUGUGUACCUAUUAUCCCACUUCAAUAACUAUUAAGUCAUUGUGGAUCUUGUUUAAUCUAUAUGCCUACCUACUUGUCCUCCUUUCCUCCCUCCAAUUAUUUUGAAGCAAAUUAUAGGGAUGAUAUUACUCUUAACAUCUGGACCUCUGACAGCUAAUUUCUGUCUUCAGUUUUUAUCAUCCUAGUUCAUCCUGUAUAACUCUGUCAUUC